GGACAACCUUCCGAAAGGGAGGCUAAUCCCGCGUAUAUCGGUUUCGGGCAUCCGAGAUCGAGGAAAGAUUCAUCGGAAGAGGAUGGGCAUGCGGCGCAUUAGCUAGACGGCGGGGUAACGGCCCACCGUGGCGACGAUGCGUAGGGGUUCUGAGAGGAAGGUCCCCCACACUGGUACUGAGACACGGACCAGACUCCUACGGGAGGCAGCAGUGAGGAAUAUUGGUCAAUGGGAGAGAUCCUGAACCAGCCAAGCCGCGUGAGGGAAGACGGCCCUAUGGGUUGUAAACCUCUUUUGUCGGAGAACAAAACCCGGGACGUGUCCCGGACUGCGUGUAUCCGAAGAAAAAGCAUCGGCUAACUCCGUGCCAGCAGCCGCGGUAAUACGGAGGAUGCGAGCGUUAUCCGGAUUUAUUGGGUUUAAAGGGUGCGUAGGCGGUCCGUUAAGUCAGCGGUAAAAUUGCGGGGCUCAACCCCGUCGAGCCGUUGAAACUGGCAGACUUGAGUUGGCGAGAAGUACGCGGAAUGCGCGGUGUAGCGGUGAAAUGCAUAGAUAUCGCGCAGAACUCCGAUUGCGAAGGCAGCGUACCGGCGCCAGACUGACGCUGAGGCACGAAAGCGUGGGGAUCGAACAGGAUUAGAUACCCUGGUAGUCCACGCAGUAAACGAUGAAUGCUGGUUGUCCGGGUCGAAUGAGAUCUGGGC
rnacentral:rRNA from 1 species